CUCCGAGUCCCAGCCCCGCUGGCAUUCCCCACGGAAUGUGAAUUCCCGAGCUUUGCCUGUCCCGCGCUGUCCCUGGCACGGGGAGGUGGGAAGGGUUUGGAGGUGUUGUGGGAUGUUCUCAUUCCAUCUGCUCCCUCCUGGGAGCUUGGCUGCCUCAAGCCCCAAGCAAUGUGGUUUAGCAGGGCAGCCUCCAGUGCACUGAACGGGCCCUGUUAUCCCGCUGCCCUCCUUCCCUGGGACGUCUGCCAAGGAGCGGGAUCAGGGCAGGCCCUUCCAAGGGCUGAGGGACAGCCCAGCAUCCCAUCAAGCACAGCUACGUCUGGUGCUCCCAAAUGUGAGCCAGCACUUGGUAGCAGGAGUUUCUGGCUCUUUUUGGCUCAAUUCCCCACCCUGGCCCAGCUAAUCCAAAGACAGAAUUAGCCAUAGCAGGACAUCUUUUCUGUCAUGAGCUCAAUGUAGUUUUAAAAUAACCAGUAUUUAAAGCAGAUUCAUUUCAAGCUUUCUCUUCUAAACCCAGGCACAGAACAUUUGGAUGAUGUCUCCCUUUCUCUGGGAAUAUGAAAUCUCGGCAGCACCUUCUAGCAAGUGUAGUCCUUGUCCUGGAUCCAUGGGAAGGUUGGCCUGGCUGGUUGGAUCCAUAAGGAGCUCCAGAAGGAACGCAGAAGUCCCCACCUUCUGGGGUGGUUGUGAUGGGCUCCAGGAGCUACAUCAACUCUCCAAUCAUGUGCUGACACAGGCUGGGAAAUGUCUGUUCUCCGCAGCAGAAUUAUUAAUACUGGGAAAGAAUCAUUCCCUCUGAAGGUGGUGAGGCCCUGGCACAGGGUGCCCAGAGAAGCCAUGGCUGCCCCAUACCUGAAGUGCCCAAGGCAUGCUGGAUGGGGCUUGGAGCAGCCUGAGACAGUGGAAGGUGUCUCUGCCCAUGGCAGGGGUGGCCCUGGAUGGUUUUUCACAUCCCUUCCAACUCAGGCCAUUCCAUGACUCCAUGGUCAUGGGGCAACUGAACUAUACUCUUGGUUUCCACAGCUUCCCAAAAUAUUACCAGAUAAUAACAAUUAUCCUCAUUUUUGCCUCUCAUUCUGGUGCCUGUCCUCAGGUUCUGCAUCUGGCAGUUGGAGGGACAUUCCCAAAGGGAAGGGCACACCCCUUGACCUCAAGAGGCACCGUGCUGCCUGGAGAGUUUUUAGUGAAAUCCUUGCAGUUGUCAUCAGUGUUCAUGCACUGCCAGGUGCAUUUAUCCAGGUGUAUCACUUGUGAAACACCUGGAUAAAUACUCUGUGUUCCCAGCCCAUUCUGUACCGAAGUAGGGGAACCCAAUCUCUCCCUUUCAGUACAUUCCACCAGUGUCAGAGCAAGACUGGGAGCAGAUGCCACCCUGACCCCUCUCCAGAGAGGGCUCAGCCACCUUCACCCGUUGGGAAGGAUGGAUAAAUAUAAUUGCCUGGCAGAAGAACCACAACAGUACAGCCAGGAUGAACAUCAUGGCCCCUACUGGCUGGACAAUGCCCUCACCUACAGAGGGAUCCCAAGGCCAAAUGGACUGUUGGAUCUCACCCCCCAGAAUGUAUGGUUCACCCCACACCUGUAACCCUCCCCUGAAACAUCAAGUGUCUGUGACCCCAUUGGCCCAAGUCUUGUUCCAGCCCACCUUGAAGCGCCCUGAUAAGGGGUCUCUGGGGGGCCAGAUGCUCUCUUGGAUCCUCCCUUCUCUUGGAACUGCCCCCCCUUAGAUCUCCCACCCUCUCCUAGAACCCCUUGUCUCUCCCCUCCCCAUCUCCUCAGGCCUUGCCCCGUGCUGCGUCUGGCAGCUCCAAGCAAGACCUUUCACCAUCCCUAAUAAACCUGAUAUUCUAAGGGCAACCAACAGAGAUCUCUCGUCUCCAUUCAUCAAAGCUGUCCAGGAGAACAGCGCUCCCCACAUUCACCUGUCCAUCAGUUCCCUAAUUCUGCUCCGCCCAGACAGGAUUGUGGCACUACAGAGUGAGGGGACAGCCUGAGCUGUCCUGAACAAGAACCGCCUGCAACCAGCACCCAAAUCUUGCAGCCAUCAGCCAGACAUCCCUACCUAGAGCCACAAAGGAGAUUUCUCAUGGGAGAGCAGUUUCUCUUCCUCACACUGCCCCUGAGGGCACCUCACACUGCACCUUCACAUCAACCCAACGUACAAUAACAAGAGAUCCCAUCACAACCACGGGCAUAAGGAACCAAGGGACACAUUCAGGACCAUUUCAGUGUCUGCGCUUUGGUGCCCACAUGGGCCAGAAACAAAUGAUGCAGAGGAGCUGUGUUUGGGAAGAGUUUUCAAGUGAUGAUGUGAGUCUGUCAUGCAGCAGUUGGAUCUUCUGGGAGCUGAUGGAGGAGGCCUUGCUCUUGACAUUGUAUUUUUUAGUUAUUUCUUAACCUAGAGAUGACAGCUCUUUCAGGGAACAAGGAAAGAUGACAUCCAAAGGCUAUCUGAAAUCCAAACUUGGGUAUAAUGAUCUCUCCUCAAAGCACAAACUGUGAAUUGGUUCUUCACAGGAGCCUGGGGGAUUGAAUGCAGUGGGUGCUCUGCUCCUCCUGCAGUCACUCCUGAACCACUGUCCUCUU
ensembl:lncRNA